rnacentral:rRNA from 1 species
AAAUGAAUUGACGGGGGCCCGCACAAGCAGUGGAGUAUGUGGUUUAAUUCGAAGCAACGCGAAGAACCUUACCAGGGCUUGACAUCCCGCGCAUAGCCAAGAGAUUGGUGAAGUCCUUUUGGACGCGGAGACAGGUGGUGCAUGGUUGUCGUCAGCUCGUGUCGUGAGAUGUUGGGUUAAGUCCCGCAACGAGCGCAACCCCUGUUGUUAGUUGCCAUCAUUAAGUUGGGCACUCUAGCGAGACUGCCGGCGAGAAGUCGGAGGAAGGUGGGGACGACGUCAAAUCAUCAUGCCCCUUACGUCCUGGGCUACACACGUACUACAAUGGUCAGAACAGAGGGAUGCAAAGGAGCAAUCCGGAGCGAAACCCCAAAACUGAUCUCAGUUCGGAUUGUGGGCUGAAACCCGCCCGCAUGAAGUCGGAAUUGCUAGUAAUGGCAGGUCAGCAUACUGCCGUGAAUACGUUCCCGGGCCUUGUACACACCGCCCGU